CUGGCUCAGGACGAACGCUGGCGGCGUGCCUAACACAUGCAAGUCGAGCGAGGAGAUCCUCGGGAUGAUCCUAGCGGCGGACGGGUGAGUAACACGUGGGCAACCUGCCUCAUAGAGAGGAAUAGCCUUCCGAAAGGGAGAUUAAUACCUCAUAACAUUGCAGUUUCGCAUGGAACAGCAAUUAAAGGAGCAAUCCGCUAUGAGAUGGGCCCGCGGCGCAUUAGCUAGUUGGUGAGGUAACGGCUCACCAAGGCGACGAUGCGUAGCCGACCUGAGAGGGUGAUCGGCCACAUUGGGACUGAGACACGGCCCAGACUCCUACGGGAGGCAGCAGUGGGGAAUAUUGCACAAUGGGGGAAACCCUGAUGCCAGCAACGCCGCGUGAGUGAUGACGGCCUUCGGGUUGUAAAGCUCUGUCUUCAGGGACGAUAAUGACGGUACCUGAGGAGGAAGCCACGGCUAACUACGUGCCAGCCGCCGC
rnacentral:rRNA from 1 species